CCGCGUGCAGGAAGACGGUCCUAUGGAUUGUAAACUGCUUUUGUACGGGAAGAACAAGGGGCACGUGUGCCCUUCUGACGGUACCGUAAGAAUAAGGAUCGGCUAACUCCGUGCCAGCAGCCGCGGUAAUACGGAGGAUCCGAGCGUUAUCCGGAAUCAUUGGGUUUAAAGGGUCCGUAGGCGGGCCAUUAAGUCAGGGGUGAAAGUCUGCGGCUCAACCGUAGAAUUGCCCUUGAUACUGGUGGUCUUGAGUUAUGGUGAAGUAACUAGAAUAUGUAGUGUAGCGGUGAAAUGCAUAGAUAUUACAUAGAAUACCGAUUGCGAAGGCAGGUUACUAACCAUAUACUGACGCUGAUGGACGAAAGCGUGGGGAGCGAACAGGAUUAGAUACCCUGGUAGUCCACGCCGUAAACGAUGGAUACUAGCUGUCCGGGUGCAAAUCUGGGCGGCCAAGCGAAAGUGAUAAGUAUCCCACCUGGGGAGUACGUCCGCAAGGAUGAAACUCAAAGGAAUUGACGGGGGCCCGCACAAGCGGUGGAGCAUGUGGUUUAAUUCGAUGAUACGCGAGGAACCUUACCAGGGCUUAAAUGUGGUCUGACAGCUUUAGAGAUAGAGCCUCCUUCGGGCAGAUCACAAGGUGCUGCAUGGUUGUCGUCAGCUCGUGCCGUGAGGUGUCAGGUUAAGUCCUAUAACGAGCGCAACCCCUGCCGUUAGUUGCCAGCAUGUAAAGAUGGGGACUCUAACGGGACUGCCGGUGCAAACCGCGAGGAAGGUGGGGAUGACGUCAAAUCAUCACGGCCCUUACGUCCUGGGCCACACACGUGCUACAAUGGCCGGUACAGAGAGCAGCCACUGGGCAACCAGGAGCGAAUCUAUAAAACCGGUCACAGUUCGGAUCGGGGUCUGCAACUCGACCCCGUGAAGCUGGAAUCGCUAGUAAUCGGAUAUCAGCCAUG
rnacentral:rRNA from 1 species